AAAUGAAUCCACACGCGGCGGAGGAACUGACACCCAGCCGAGUCCUCCGACGAAGUCUGCGCCGUCGCCUGUAGAUAAGACCACGCGGCCUGCUUAACGAGCGGGUCGCGGAUCGAAAUAUCUCCGACGGUGGAUAAGACUGGAGAGCUGCUGCCGUUAAUAGACGGUAGCUUGACGGAGGAGUUGCUCGGAGACGAGAUGAUGUCUCUGAGAGAUGUGUAGGCUACGGAGGAAGGUGGUUUUAUGGAGAUGAGGUCGAAAUCGAACGACGAUGGAGAUUCGAUUGCGAAAGGGAUAUCGGAGGUGAUCACGGACGUUGGCGUUGCGAUGGAGAUUCUACGGCGGAGGGGAGUAGCCGGCGGAGUCUCCAUAGUUUUUUUUUUUUUUUUUUUUUUUUUGGGUGGUGAAUGCAGAACCCACUCGAACACACGUCUCAAGAACUGCACUCCGGCGGAGAAAUGAAUCCACACGCGGCGGAGGAACUGACACCCAGCCGAGUCCUCCGACGAAGUCUGCGCCGUCGCCUGUAGAUAAGACCACGCGGCCUGCUUAACGAGCGGGUCGCGGAUCGAAAUAUCUCCGACGGUGGAUAAGACUGGAGAGCUGCUGCCGUUAAUAGACGGUAGCUUGACGGAGGAGUUGCUCGGAGACGAGAUGAUGUCUCUGAGAGAUGUGUAGGCUACGGAGGAAGGUGGUUUUAUGGAGAUGAGGUCGAAAUCGAACGACGAUGGAGAUUCGAUUGCGAAAGGGAUAUCGGAGGUGAUCACGGACGUUGGCGUUGCGAUGGAGAUUCUACGGCGGAGGGGAGUAGCCGGCGGAGUCUCCAUAGUUUUUUUUUUUUUUUUUUUUUUUU
rnacentral:lncRNA from 1 species